ACCUCUGGGAUAGCUCAUUUAGUAGAGCAUGAGACUCUUAAUCCUGGGGUUGUGGGUUUGAGCCCCACACUGGGCA